rnacentral:rRNA from 1 species
UACGGAGGAUCCAAGCGUUAUCCGGAAUUACUGGGCGUAAAGCGUGCGCAGGCGGUUUUGUAAGCCAGAUGUGAAAUCCCCGGGCUUAACCUGGGAAUGGCAUUUGGGACUGCAAGGCUAGAGUGCGGCAGAGGAGACUGGAAUUCCUGGUGUAGCAGUGAAAUGCGUAGAUAUCAGGAGGAACACCGAUGGCGAAGGCAGGUCUCUGGGCUGACACUGACGCUCAUGCACGAAAGCGUGGGGAGCAAACAGG